CUCCACCCUGUCUGACUCCAAAGAUCACAUAUUUCCUAUGCCUUUGGACUGGGGCACAGAUGUAGACAACUCGAGCUUUGCUGAUUGUGAGAAAGGUAUGAGAAAUAGCCCUGAUGGAAUUUUCUUCUUGUACUUGCAGGGGAACAAAGCGGCAUCAUUCCAUUAUUCCAGGGGAGGUGCUAAAUACAAGGGUGAGGCUGUCAAGCGGUCCCUGGUGGAGUCCUACAUUCACCCAAACAGCAACGAGACAGAGCGGAGGGGAACAUCGAUACUGUCAUGAACUGGUUCACCUAGGAAGACUUUGACUUUGUGACUCUGUGCUACAGAGAGCCAGAUAACGUGGGACAUCGAUUUGGGCCAGAGGCAGAGAACAGGAAGUUGAUGAUUCAGCAAAUCGACAGGACCAUCGGGUAUCUGGUGGGAGCCACUGAGAAGCACAGCCUGCAGAGCACCUCAGCAUCAUCAUCACAUGAGACCAUGGGAUGACCACCGUGAAGAAGAGACCCAAUGUCAACAAGAUCCCUUGUCCAACUACAUCAAGUUCAGGAACUUGGUCAAGUUUGAUAUUGUGGGCUACGGUGGCUUUGGGAUGCCCCUACCCAAAUUGGGGCAAGAGGAAACCCUUUACCAGGCACUGAAGAAUGCAUACCCUCACCUCCACAUCUUCAAGAAGGAGGAGUUUCCAGAGCAUUUCCAUCUUGCUAAACAUGACCAGGUUCUGCCAAUCGUGAUGUAUGCCAACUCUGGUUACAGUAUCAAUGGGAGAAUUAUAAUGUGUUUCAACAAAGGCAGCCGUGGCUUUGAUAAUGUCCUCAUGGAUAUGAGACCAUAUUCAGAGCUUUCGGGCCAGAUUUCAAGAGGAAUCGCCUGGCCGAGCCUUUUAAUGGCAUCCACAUCUACCCAUUCAUGUGUAAGCUCCUGGGAGUCACCCCCAAACCCACAACAGCUCCCUGGCAGUCACCCAGGAAAUGCUCGUGAACUCCUAUGUCCAGCAGCCAGGAGCGGAGGUACAGAUGGCAUCUGCUCUGCAAGGUGCAGUGAUCGGGUUCAGCAUUGUCACAGGAGCUCUUGCGGUUCUGUUUGUUGCUAGUGUGACAUACACAGCCAUUCAUCGGAAAAAGGACUGAGUGGGCUUUGGGUCUCCUGUAGUUGAUCAUUCAUAUGAUAACCCAUGACAACUCCUUGCCACAUGCCACAGGAGGUCCAGCACUCCAAGAACCCAGCAGCCAGGGCCAGCUUCAUGGGUUUGCAACCUGGACAGUCCCACAGGGACACAGAAGAGUCCCCACUGUGGUUUAAUAA
rnacentral:lncRNA from 1 species